rnacentral:rRNA from 1 species
GACGAACGCUGGCGGCGCGCCUAACACAUGCAAGUCGAACGAUCGAGAGAGAGCUUGCUUUCUCGAGCGAGUGGCGAACGGGUGAGUAACGCGUGAGGAACCUGCCUCAAAGAGGGGGACAACAGUUGGAAACGACUGCUAAUACCGCAUAAGCCCACGACCCGGCAUCGGGUAGAGGGAAAAGGAGCAAUCCGCUUUGAGAUGGCCUCGCGUCCGAUUAGCUAGUUGGUGAGGUAACGGCCCACCAAGGCGACGAUCGGUAGCCGGACUGAGAGGUUGAACGGCCACAUUGGGACUGAGACACGGCCCAGACUCCUACGGGAGGCAGCAGUGGGGAAUAUUGCACAAUGGGGGAAACCCUGAGGCAGCGACGCCGCGUGGAGGAAGAAGGUCUUCGGAUUGUAAACUCCUGUUGUUGAGGAAGAUAAUGACGGUACUCAACAAGGAAGUGACGGCUAACUACGUG